AGAUUGAACGCUGGCGGCAUGCCUUACACAUGCAAGUCGAACGGCAGCACGGGGGCAACCCUGGUGGCGAGUGGCGAACGGGUGAGUAAUAUAUCGGAACGUGCCCCGGAGUGGGGGAUAACGCAGCGAAAGUUGCGCUAAUACCGCAUACGAUCUCAGGAUGAAAGCAGGGGAUCGCAAGACCUUGCGCGAAUGGAGCGGCCGAUGGCAGAUUAGGUAGUUGGUGAGGUAAAGGCUCACCAAGCCUUCGAUCUGUAGCUGGUCUGAGAGGACGACCAGCCACACUGGGACUGAGACACGGCCCAGACCCCUACGGGAGGCAGCAGUGGGGAAUUUUGGACAAUGGGCGAAAGCCUGAUCCAGCCAUGCCGCGUGCAGGAUGAAGCCUCGGUUGUAACUGUCUUUGUACGAACGAAAGUCUACUUUCUAAUAAAGGGUAUACGAUGUACGUACCGUAAGAAGUAAAGUCGAACCGUACGUAACUACGUAGUCCAGCUAA
rnacentral:rRNA from 1 species